UUAAGCGACUAAGCGUACACGGUGGAUGCCCUGGCAGUCAGAGGCGAUGAAGGACGUGCUAAUCUGCGAAAAGCGCCGGCGAGGUGAUAUGAACCUUUGACCCGGCGAUGUCCGAAUGGGGAAACCCAGUGUGUUCCGACACACUAUCGUUAACUGAAUACAUAGGUUAACGAGGCGAACCGGGGGAACUGAAACAUCUAAGUACCCCGAGGAAAAGAAAUCAACCGAGAUUCCCCCAGUAGCGGCGAGCGAACGGGGAGCAGCCCAGAGUCUGAAUCAGCUUGUGUGUUAGUGGAAGCGUCUGGAAAGUCGCACGGUACAGGGUGACAGUCCCGUACACGAAAGCACACAGGCUGUGAACUCGAAGAGUAGGGCGGGACACGUGGUAUCCUGUCUGAAUAUGGGGGGACCAUCCUCCAAGGCUAAAUACUCCUGACUGACCGAUAGUGAACCAGUACCGUGAGGGAAAGGCGAAAAGAACCCCGGCGAGGGGAGUGAAAAAGAACCUGAAACCGUGUACGUACAAGCAGUGGGAGCCUCUUUUAUGGGGUGACUGCGUACCUUUUGUAUAAUGGGUCAGCGACUUAUAUUCUGUAGCAAGGUUAACCGUAUAGGGGAGCCGAAGGGAAACCGAGUCUUAACUGGGCGUUAAGUUGCAGGGUAUAGACCCGAAACCCGGUGAUCUAGCCAUGGGCAGGUUGAAGGUUGGGUAACACUAACUGGAGGACCGAACCGACUAAUGUUGAAAAAUUAGCGGAUGACUUGUGGCUGGGGGUGAAAGGCCAAUCAAACCGGGAGAUAGCUGGUUCUCCCCGAAAGCUAUUUAGGUAGCGCCUCGUGAACUCAUCUUCGGGGGUAGAGCACUGUUUCGGCUAGGGGGCCAUCCCGGCUUACCAACCCGAUGCAAACUACGAAUACCGAAGAAUGUUAUCACGGGAGACACACGGCGGGUGCUAACGUCCGUCGUGAAGAGGGAAACAACCCAGACCGCCAGCUAAGGUCCCAAAGUCAUGGUUAAGUGGGAAACGAUGUGGGAAGGCACAGACAGCCAGGAUGUUGGCUUAGAAGCAGCCAUCAUUUAAAGAAAGCGUAAUAGCUCACUGGUCGAGUCGGCCUGCGCGGAAGAUGUAACGGGGCUAAACCAUGCACCGAAGCUGCGGCAGCGACACUAUGUGUUGUUGGGUAGGGGAGCGUUCUGUAAGCCGUUGAAGGUGUCCUGUGAGGGGUGCUGGAGGUAUCAGAAGUGCGAAUGCUGACAUAAGUAACGAUAAAGCGGGUGAAAAGCCCGCUCGCCGGAAGACCAAGGGUUCCUGUCCAACGUUAAUCGGGGCAGGGUGAGUCGACCCCUAAGGCGAGGCCGAAAGGCGUAGUCGAUGGGAAACAGGUUAAUAUUCCUGUACUUGGUGUUACUGCGAAGGGGGGACGGAGAAGGCUAUGUUAGCCGGGCGACGGUUGUCCCGGUUUAAGCAUGUAGGCGGAGGUUCCAGGUAAAUCCGGUUCCUUGUUAACGCUGAGGUGUGAUGACGAGGCACUACGGUGCUGAAGUAACAAAUGCCCUGCUUCCAGGAAAAGCCUCUAAGCAUCAGGUAACAUCAAAUCGUACCCCAAACCGACACAGGUGGUCAGGUAGAGAAUACCAAGGCGCUUGAGAGAACUCGGGUGAAGGAACUAGGCAAAAUGGUGCCGUAACUUCGGGAGAAGGCACGCUGAUAUGUAGGUGAAGCCCCUGCGGGUGGAGCUGAAAUCAGUCGAAGAUACCAGCUGGCUGCAACUGUUUAUUAAAAACACAGCACUGUGCAAACACGAAAGUGGACGUAUACGGUGUGACGCCUGCCCGGUGCCGGAAGGUUAAUUGAUGGGGUUAGCGGUAACGCGAAGCUCUUGAUCGAAGCCCCGGUAAACGGCGGCCGUAACUAUAACGGUCCUAAGGUAGCGAAAUUCCUUGUCGGGUAAGUUCCGACCUGCACGAAUGGCGUAAUGAUGGCCAGGCUGUCUCCACCCGAGACUCAGUGAAAUUGAACUCGCUGUGAAGAUGCAGUGUACCCGCGGCAAGACGGAAAGACCCCGUGAACCUUUACUAUAGCUUGACACUGAACACUGGUCCUUGAUGUGUAGGAUAGGUGGGAGGCUUUGAAGCGUGGACGCCAGUCUGCGUGGAGCCAACCUUGAAAUACCACCCUUUAAUGGCUGGUGUUCUAACGUAGACCCGUGAUCCGGGUCGCGGACAGUGUCUGGUGGGUAGUUUGACUGGGGCGGUCUCCUCCCAAAGAGUAACGGAGGAGCACGAAGGUUAGCUAAUCCUGGUCGGACAUCAGGAGGUUAGUGCAAUGGCAUAAGCUAGCUUGACUGCGAGAGUGACGGCUCGAGCAGGUGCGAAAGCAGGUCAUAGUGAUCCGGUGGUUCUGAAUGGAAGGGCCAUCGCUCAACGGAUAAAAGGUACUCCGGGGAUAACAGGCUGAUACCGCCCAAGAGUUCAUAUCGACGGCGGUGUUUGGCACCUCGAUGUCGGCUCAUCACAUCCUGGGGCUGAAGUAGGUCCCAAGGGUAUGGCUGUUCGCCAUUUAAAGUGGUACGCGAGCUGGGUUUAGAACGUCGUGAGACAGUUCGGUCCCUAUCUGCCGUGGGCGCUGGAGAAUUGAGGGGGGCUGCUCCUAGUACGAGAGGACCGGAGUGGACGCAUCACUGGUGUUCGGGUUGUCAUGCCAAUGGCACUGCCCGGUAGCUAAAUGCGGAAGAGAUAAGUGCUGAAAGCAUCUAAGCACGAAACUUGCCCCGAGAUGAGUUCUCCCUGAGACUUUAAGUCUCCUGAAGGAACGUUGAAGACUACGACGUUGAUAGGUCGGGUGUGUAAGCGCAGCGAUGCGUUGAGCUAACCGAUACUAAUGAACCGUGAGGCUUAACCUU
rnacentral:rRNA from 1 species